rnacentral:misc_RNA from 1 species
AUGGCGUGUGCAGAUGAAAACAACGGAAAGACAGCUCGGCAAAAAGUUGUUCAAAGGACAGGAAACACAAAUGUUGUGGUCCAACACCUUGAUGUCAGUAUGAUGUCAUCUGUUCGGUCCUUUGUGGCGCUGUUUAAACUACACGAAAAGAAGUUAGAUAUCCUCAUAAACAACAAGGAAAUGAUAUCCAUCAAGAAAAAGAUGACAAACGAGCAGUUUGAAAUGGUUUUUGCCGCAAACUAUUUUGGACCGUUUUUGCUGACACAUCUUUUGCUAGAUCUGUUGAGGAGAUCCCAAGGGCGCGUUGUAAAUGUUGGCUCCGUUCUACCUAGUUCUACCGUGCUGGACUGUGGGAAUCUUAAAGCAGAGAAAUCUUUCCAUUUUUCAAGAUUUUACGAAUCCAAAUUAGCAAUGCUGAUUUUCACCAAAGAGCUUGCAAAACGAACUAUAAAUUCGGGCGUUGUUGCUGCCUAUGUUAAUGCUGGCCCAACGCAAACAGAACUCUGCCAGGACAUCUCUUGGCUGUUUCUACUUUUUCAGUCAAUUUACUCUGGACAAGGACUAAAGUCGGCGACAAGGGGGGCUCGGUCCGUGCUGUUCUGUGCCCUGGACGACUCUGUACAGACGGGUGGGUACUAUAUUGACGGUCAGCUCAUGGACCAUACACCGUCGGUACCUGCCUCCGUGUACGACGAGGGACUGGCCAAGAAACUGUGGGAGGUCAGUGAGAGACUCACGGGACAGUCCGACGUCAUGGGAGAACUGAAUGCACGAUUGGCCAAGCGGGGGCGUGUGGAAUAAUACAAAUACAAUUACCUGGACUUGUUUUGAUCUUCCGUUUUCAAUUCAUUAUCAGUUCUGUCUUUGAAACAACUAUAUAUAUUUUUUUCUUAUAUGUUGAAACUUUAUGAUAUUACAAAUGUAAACAUUAGUUUGUAUUACUGGUACUCGGUAUAUGAUGUCAAAUAACAUAUACAUGUAUGUUUGACAACACUGUGAAGGAAACUUUGCACUCUAUAAUUCUGUAAUCAUAUGUUUUCUGGAUUAAACUUU